rnacentral:ncRNA from 1 species
UUGAUAGAGGUUGCAUUUUUCAUCAGUAGAAAUUUGGAUGUGGCAGGCACAGAAGAAGAAUUUUGAAAGGGGAAAAUGCCGAAAGGAAAAACAGCCUGUUUGUUUUUGCCUUGGGCAUACAGUUAAGAGCUGUAUGACUGUCAUCGGAUCGAUGGGGCGCUAUCAGA